UUUACUUAGGUCUGUGGUUGAAAGUCGAUGCUAGUCGCAGGCGAAACGAUCCACGUAAGGUAGCACUAGACUAAUAGCUACUGAUCAUGGUGCGGCUUAGAGGUGAGUCCUACCUAGAUUAUUACAUAAGGUAAUUUUACUAGAGAGAAGGGGUAGUGAAUUUGAUCUUAAUUUGCGAGACUUCCAGUGGGCGAGUGUGGGGGCAAAGACCAGGUCAGCUAAGUAAA
rnacentral:ncRNA from 1 species